CCUACGGGAGGCAGCAGUGAGGAAUAUUGGUCAAUGGACGAGAGUCUGAACCAGCCAAGUAGCGUGAAGGAUGACUGCCCUAUGGGUUGUAAACUUCUUUUAUAGGGGAAUAAAAUGUGCCACGUGUGGGCUUUUGUAUGUACCAUAUGAAUAAGGAUCGGCCAACUCCGUGCCAGCAGCCGCGGUAAUACGGAGGAUCCGAGCGUUAUCCGGAUUUAUUGGGUUUAAAGGGAGCGUAGGUGGAUUGUUAAGUCAGUUGUGAAAGUUUGCGGCUCAACCGUAAAAUUGCAGUUGAAACUGGCAGUCUUGAGUACAGUAGAGGUAGGCGGAAUUCGAGGUGUAGCGGUGAAAUGCUUAGAUAUCACGAAGAACUCCGAUUGCGAAGGCAGCUCACUGGACUGCAACUGACACUGAGGCACGAAAGUGUGGGUAUCAAACAGGAUUAGAUACCCGAGUAGUC
rnacentral:rRNA from 1 species